GACAGAGGGUGCAAACGUUGUUCGGGAUUACUGGGCGUAAAGCGCGUGUAGGCGGCUUCGCAAGUCGGGUGUGAAAUCCCACGGCUCAACCGUGGAAGUGCAUUCGAGACUGCAAGGCUAGAGUCCUGGAGAGGAAGGUGGAGUGCUUGGUGUAGAGGUGAAAUUCGUAGAUAUCAAGCGGAACACCGGUGGCGAAGGCGACCUUCUGGACAGUGACUGACGCUGAGACGCGAAAGCGUGGGGAGCAAACAGGG
rnacentral:rRNA from 1 species